AUGCAAUGCUAUGCAAGUGCAACACAAAGGGUAAAAAUCGAAAAGCAACGUUCGGAUUGAAAAAAUAGAGAGAGAAAGAGAAAGCGGCACAAAAACAAAAGAGAAGAAGGAUCAUAAAAACCUUCCCAUUUGCUUCCAAAUACUAUACUCCUUCCUUCCAAAGCAACAACACUCUUUGGAACCAAUUCGCCGUUCUCUCUCUCUUUCUCUUUCUUUCUCUCUCUUUGCAUCUCUUCAACAAGUCUCAGAUUCUCUACCUAUUUAUCUCUUCGCCAUUGUCAAUGCUGGCGGCCUCUCCGUGUGCGCCGCUGCUAUAGCCGGAGAUUCUGCGCCGGAGAUUCUCGCGGUGGUUCCAUCGGAUUUUUCUAGGGUUUUCUGAUCGUUCGGUUCGCGCUCCGUGGCAUCAACGCCCUAAUGCCUCCGCCGCGCCGACGCGGAGCGAACAAGGCGAAGGCCAAUGGUCACUUGAGAUUGGGCGAUCUCGUGCUCGCUAAGGUUAAGGGAUUCCCGUAUUGGCCUGCCAUGAUAAGCAGGCCUGAAGAUUGGGAGAAACCCCCUGAUCCAAAGAAGUAUUUUGUUCAAUUUUUUGGGACCAAAGAAAUAGCUUUUGUUGCCCCCGCGGAUAUUCAGGCAUUCACCAAUGAGACUAAAACUAAGUUGUCUGCUCGGUGUCAAGGAAAGACAAAGUACUUCACCAAAGCCGUGAAGGAAAUCUGUGCAGCAUUUGAGGAGUUAGAGAAACAGAAAGUUAGUGGUGUGAAAGAGGACACUGAUGAUUCACAUAUUGGGUCGGGAACUCCUGUUGUAGGGGUAGUGGCUCACCCAAAGGAUGGCACAGAUGCUGUGGUACUAAAUGUAGAAAAAACUGACACAUAUGUGGGAGAUGUUGGCUCAAAUUUGGGGCAAUAUACCCAGAAAUGUGAAGAAAGUGGUAGCCAAGAUGCAAAACCUUCUCUAUCUGGUCAUCCAAUUGACAGUGCGUCUCCAGUGUUGUCUCCUGUGAUUGAAAGCAAACCAUCAAUUGGUGAAGAACUAAAUAACUACAGUAGCAAAUCUGGCCUGGAUGAACAAUCACAUCGUAAAGUUGAAGACUAUGAUAUUGAGGAUUUGUGCAAUGUUAAUGACUUAAAGCAAGCUGAUUAUGUACAGAGUGUUUCUACAAAUGGGAACAACUCAAGAAAGAUUGUUAGUGACUCAAGGAGAAGAAAGAUUGCAGAUGACAGAAAAAGAAGUGGUGAAAUUAGUAGAGCAGUUUUGAAGGAUGAAAGCUGUGCAGGUUAUGCUAGUUUUUCCAGGUCUGGGGAGAAAUUGAAAGAUAAAAAAAAGGGGAAAGAUUCAUUUUCUGUUAGGUCAGAUUCUUUAGAUGCUCCAAAAUCAGACUCUGAUAUUAACAGUGGAAGUAAAAAUAAGAACCUGCUGAAAGUUAAAACAAGUCUUAAGGUUAAAAAAGAGUUACAAGAGAGCUUUGAAUGUUCUGAGGCUGAGAGAAGAAAACCUCUUAAACAUAACAAAACCCAUGUUCAUGGAAAACGUAAUUUGGGAACAUAUGAAACCUCACAUGCUACCAAGAAGUUGAAGUUUAUGGAUAACAAAGACAACAAGACUUCAAAAUCUCUCUCGGAAGAUGGGAAUAGUGUUUUUCCUAGCUCUCCUGACAAAGAAUUCAAACAAAUAGAGUUCAAAAGGUCUACAUCACGUUUGAAAUCAGAAAAAGGUUUGUCAUCGAGGGGUCAGAUCAGCAUUGUAGGUUCUGAUGAUUCUGUUGGUGAACUGCUGCCCGAGACAAAACAUCGUGUCCAAGUCCUGCAACCUAUGCCUGAUUCUGCUAGUGUUGCAACUGGUGGACAUACAGAGAUAAGUUCUCUUGGAUCGCAAGGUGACACAAAUAAUGUUGCAAUUAAGCAAGCAAAGAGGAGACGAAGAGCUGUUUGCGUUUCUGAUGAUGAUGAUGAACCGAAGACUCCUGUUCAUGGAGGAGCUGCUAAAGAUAUUAAAUCAACUUCUUUUGUUUCAGAGGUUAUGAAGAGCAGUGAUACACUGCUAGAGAACACUGAUGUUGCUCAGCUGGCUACCAAAAACCCUAUUGCACUUGAGGAUGUCCAUUUUAAAGAAUCCACUUCUGAAUUACAUAAUGACAAUUUGUCAACUGGGCAUCCUCAAAAUGAGACUGAUGAAGUUAUUCCUGUUCAAUUACCUCAUAGUCCUGGGAGAUUAGGUUCAAAGCAACUGCCUCCCAAGGUGGUGGAUAAAUUGAGGUCCAUCUCUCCUGUAAAUUCACCUCGUUCUCUUCAUACAACAAAGUCAAAUGCUGAGCAAAAUAAAUCUUCCAAACGUAUGCUUCAAGUUUCCAGUAAUUCUACUCAAAAGAAGGUUGAUAACGUGUCUUCAAAGAAUUUAAAUAGCUUCAGCUCUUCACCAAGUCAGGUCACUACUCAUAAAAAGAAGCCUGCACCUUCAGCUGAAACUUCUAAAACUACACCAAAGACAUUAUCACAAGCAGUUGAAGUUCCAGUUACAACAGAAAAUUUAAAGGAAUUUGAUGCUUUUCAUGUUGAUAGGACUCCAGAAACUCCUAAGACUAUGAAGAAUCUUAUUGCAGCUGCACAGGCAAAACGGAGACAAGUAGCUCAAGCUCAAUUUCAGCCUCUUUCCACUUACUAUACUCAAGGGGGAACACCAAGCCCCUCUACAAUUCAACCAUUUUUGUCUGCCUCAAGUAAUUUUGAUCAGGCUGAUUGGCAGGGAGUUCUUGAACACCCAACAUUGGCUUAUCCAUCAACUAAUGGGUAUCAAUCCAUUUCUCAAAAUGAACUUGAUGCUGUAGAAAAUGAGGAGAAAAUAGUUAGUCCAGUGCAAAAGGAUGUAAGGGGUUCUCUAAGUAGCGGUACUGAUGCCGCUAUUGCUCGUGAUGCCUUUGAAGGAAUGAUAGAGACUUUGUCUAGGACCAAGGAAAGUAUUGGGCGUGCAACACGUUUAGCUAUUGAUUGUGCUAAGUAUGGCAUUGCCAAUGAGGUUGUUGAACUUCUUAUUCGAAAGCUGGAAAGUGAAACUAGUUUUCAUCGUAAAGUGGAUUUGUUUUUUCUUGUUGAUUCCAUCACCCAGUGCUCUCAUAAUCAAAAAGGCAUUGCAGGAGCCUCAUACAUCCCCACAGUUCAAGGAGGGUUGCCACGCCUUCUUAGUGCUGCUGCUCCCCCUGGGGCCAGUGCUUCUGAAAAUCGUCGUCAAUGUCUCAAGGUUUUAAAGCUGUGGCUUGAGAGGAAAAUUUUCCCUGAAUCAGUUCUUCGUCGUUACAUGGAUGAUAUGACAGUUAGUUGUUCCUUUAGGCGUCCUUCUCGUGCUGAACGUUCUCUGGAUGACCCAAUUAGAGAAUUGGAGGGCAUGUUUGUUGAUGAGUAUGGAAGUAAUACAUUUAAGCUGCCUGGCUUUUUAUCUUCUUGUGUGUUUGAAGAAGAUGAAGACAAUGAUUUUCCAAGUAAUGCAUCUCCAGCAGAUGCGAUGCGCAUUGUUGGGGAUUCUGAAACUUCUACUGUUACCCCAAGUGACAAGCGCCAUUGUGUCUUGGAGGAUGUGGAUGGUGAGCUGGAAAUGGAAGAUGUUUCAGGUCACCUUAAGGAGGAAAGACCUUUAUCACUGAACAGUCCUUCUGAAAAGGAUUCUCAACUUCAGAGCUCGGAAAGGAUUUUAGUUCCAGCUUCAAACAUUUCUGCUGAGAUACCUGAUGAUAUUCUUGAGGGCUCUCCUCCUUUGCCAUUAGAUUCACCCCCUUCUCCUCCACCUUUGCCUUCCUCGCCUCCACCCCCUCCUUUGCCACCCCCAAGCCCUCCACCUUCACUGGUUCCUCAAUCAUAUGAGCCUGUUCAGCCUCCACUUUUCUCCCAGACAAUAGUGCCACCUCAAUUAUCGCAUCAGUCAUCACCAUUGUCAGGGUUUCAGCAGAGUGUACCUCAUGAUUUUAGUGGCUCAACCAAUGGCAACCAAAUAGGUCAAGUGGCUGGAAAUUCUUUCCCUGGAAGUCACAAUAGCUCAGUUGUCAAGAAUGAAAUAUUACAACAGCCAUCUGCUUGCUUUCCUGCAAUGGCAGGCUGCAACUCUCAAGAACCUUCUGGUUUUAACCCUCCGAGGCAGUUAGAAUAUGGACAAAAUGAUAUGUAUCUAAAUUCUCAAGGCCCUCAACCUAAUAUUCAAUUUCAGCCAGCUAACCCACCAUUUGCUCCAAGACAUGUGCAUCCUGCCCUACCCGAAAAUUCAUCCAAUCAAUACUCAUAUCAAAAGCCUACAAUUCCCCAGCACCUUCCACAUUCUUUCCUUCCCCCCUUCUCAUUGCCAUCAGUUCCAGAUGGCCAGAGGCAAUUUGGUGCUAAUGAGCAAUGGAGGAGACCAUCAAGUGAAUUUAUAACAAACAAUCAGCAGGGUCUAUGGAUAGGGAGAAAUCCUUCAUGUCCUGCUCCUCCCUUUGGGCAGGAAGGUUUUUUUCGGCCACCACUAGAAAGACCACCAAUAAACAACGUAGGUUUUCAGCAUGCAAAUCCUAGCAACAUACCUACUCAUCCUAUGACAGGACAUGGUGUUCCUCAGAUGUUGUCCUGUAGACCAGAUAUACCUGCACUUAAUUUUUGGAGGCCUACCUGAUGCUGAUAGAAAUAUUGUAAAAUUCAUCUGUACAAUUGUGUUGAUGCUUGUGGAUCAACUAUCGAGGUCACACAUUGUGGUUUGAAGUUAGAUUCACUUGUGUAGAACAUAUGGACCACUACCCGAGGAAAGUUUUGAAAACUUGUGGAGGCUUUUGGCAGGACUGUGUAUAUUAUAAUUUUUCCUGACAAUGUAUCCCAAGAACAUAUGCUUCCAAGUUUAGGUCCUUGUUUCUGACUUGGUUUUGGAGUAGAGGAAAGCUGGUAGGUUGUGGAGUUGAUGUCUUUGCUGGAUGUAUGAUUUGGUUUAAAAAGUCACAGUUGAUGAUUGCUAACAUAUAUCAAACAUGGCCCUGUGAUGUUUAUGGAUUUCGUGUUGCUUGAGCUAGGGUUACUUGAUCUACGUGGUGUUGAAAGGGGAGAAUCAUAUAAAAAAAAUUGUGGGAAGUUGUCAUCAAAGAGCCUUGCUGUUAAAUUCCAACACGCCGAUUUUCUAUUGAUUAGCUGAUCUCAGAAAUGAGUUAUUGAGAAGAGCAGGUACUUGAAGUUUUGCUUUAGUACAAGAGCUCAUUGCCAUUGGUGAAAAACAGGUUUUUCCGUAAGCGGAGAUGGAGAUUGGUUUACCUUUCUCAUGUUACAAUGUGGUUUCUGAACAACGAAUAAGGUCAGACACUCAGAUUCACAUUGCAUCCGAAACUGUAGAUCUUCGAACUAGAUAGUUGACAUGGAGGAACAUAAUUUUUUGUUAUGUAUUAUACAUGAAAUUUCGAUGCGACGACAUGUAUAAGGAUAGCUCUCAUGAAGGGCUUAAAAAAUUUAGCAAAAUAUUUCUGAUUUGCACAUUACAAUGUUUAGAUAGUGAUACUGUGUAGCACUGAUGCAUGCACAUCUUCACAGUUCUAGUUAUUUUGCAUACACAAGGAAGAAUCUUGAACAGAGAGCUUUUUGUACUUCACUGUAGAAAAAUUUCUGAUGCCUGGCAUUCUGCCUUCCCCAUCAAUGUGAUAUGCCAGGUCGAUGAUGAUUUAUUUACAGUC